rnacentral:rRNA from 1 species
AACGAACGCUGGCGGCGCGCCUUACACAUGCAAGUCGAACGGCAGUAACGGGCUUGCCCCUUCUCAGAUGGGUGGCCUGGUGAGUAACACCUGGGUGACAUACCUUUUAGAUGGGGAUUGCUAUUAGUAAUAGUAGGUCAUACCGAAUGUAACCGUUCUCGCUAUUGGGGUACGACGAAUCGAGCUAAGGCUUCGCUAAAAGUAUGGCUCGCCGCCCAUUAUGCUCGUUGGCGCGGUGACGGCCCACCUAGGCGAUGUUGGGUAUCAGUCCUGAGCGGGUGGACGAGCACAUUGGCACUGAGAAACGGCCCCGACUUCUACGGGAGGCCGCAGUUAAGAAUCUUCCGCGAUGGACGAGAGUCUGACGGAGCGACGCCGCGGGGAUGAAGAAUGCCGAAAGGUUGUAAAAUCCUUUUAAGCCUGAGGAAUAAGAACAGUAGGGAAUGAUUGUGCGGUGACCGUAGGGGUUGAAUAAGCACCGGCUAAUUACGUG